rnacentral:lncRNA from 1 species
GAAACAGAAACAACCCAUAGGCAAAGUACUCAGAAAUAUGAAAUCCUGUACACUGUGUCCAUAAUCACUCAGUACCGUUUGGACUUUUGUCCUAGUAUCUGUCUAAUUGAUUAUGCAUGCAACUUCCUUCCUUCCUUCCUCGUUCUCUUAGAUGAGUGUAUCUUUCAUUGAUUAGGUCAGAGGAUAGCAUCCUUUUGGAAAGGAUUCUUUGCAUGGUGGUGUAUCACGCAGUCAGUAUUAGUGGUGAUCUCAAGAAUUACAGGGAUUGAAAUGGAGAGGAGCCUGAGGAAAAGAAGAUCCAGCAACAGGCACAAAAUGGGAUCCAGCUCAAGGGAUGGUCCCAAGGUCUGACACUAUUACUGAGGUUAUGGAGAACUCACAAAAAGGAACCAAGCGUGACUACACUCUGGACACAAAAUAAGCAGCUUUUA